rnacentral:rRNA from 1 species
UACGUAGGGGGCAAGCGUUGUCCGGAUUUACUGGGCGUAAAGAGCGCGUAGGCGGAAGCUUAAGCGUGCCCUGAAAGCCCCCGGCUCAACCGGGGAGGGUGGGUGCGAACUGGGCUUCUUGAGGUCGAUAGAGGAGAGUGGAAUUCCGCGUGUAGCAGUGAAAUGCGUAGAUAUGCGGAGGAACACCGAUGGCGAAGGCAAUCCCCUGGGCCUGCACUGACGCUCAUGCACGAAAGCGUGGGGAGCAAACAGG